rnacentral:rRNA from 1 species
AUUGAACGCUGGCGGCAGGCCUAACACAUGCAAGUCGAGCGGAUGAAGGGAGCUUGCUCCUGGAUUCAGCGGCGGGCGGGUGAGUAAUGCCUAGGAAUCUGCCUGGUAGUGGGGGAUAACGUCCGGAAACGGGCGCUAAUACCGCAUACGUCCUGAGGGAGAAAGUGGGGGAUCUUCGGACCUCACGCUAUCAGAUGAGCCUAGGUCGGAUUAGCUAGUUGGUGGGGUAAAGGCCUACCAAGGCGACGAUCCGUAACUGGUCUGAGAGGAUGAUCAGUCACACUGGAACUGAGACACGGUCCAGACUCCUACGGGAGGCAGCAGUGGGGAAUAUUGGACAAUGGGCGAAAGCCUGAUCCAGCCAUGCCGCGUGUGUGAAGAAGGUCUUCGGAUUGUAAAGCACUUUAAGUUGGGAGGAAGGGCAGUAAGUUAAUACCUUGCUGUUUUAACGUUACCAACAGAAUAAGCACCGGCUAACUUCGUG